rnacentral:rRNA from 1 species
GGAUGCGAUCAUACCAGCACUAACACACUGGAUCCCAUCAGAACUCCGAAGUUAAGCGUGCUUGUGCGAGAGUAGUAUUAGGAUGGGUGACCCCCUCGGAAGUCCUCGUGUUGCAUCCC